rnacentral:rRNA from 1 species
AUCUACCCUUUUCUACGGAAUAACGCAGGGAAACUUGUGCUAAUACCGUAUGAGCCCUUCGGGGGAAAGAUUUAUCGGGAAAGGAUGAGCCCGCGUUGGAUUAGCUAGUUGGUGGGGUAAAGGCCUACCAAGGCGACGAUCCAUAGCUGGUCUGAGAGGAUGAUCAGCCACAUUGGGACUGAGACACGGCCCAAACUCCUACGGGAGGCAGCAGUGGGGAAUAUUGGACAAUGGGCGCAAGCCUGAUCCAGCCAUGCCGCGUGAGUGAUGAAGGCCCUAGGGUUGUAAAGCUCUUUCACCGGUGAAGAUAAUGACGGUAACCGGAGAAGAAGCCCCGGCUAACUUCGUGCCAGCAGCCGCGGUAAUACGAAGGGGGCUAGCGUUGUUCGGAAUUACUGGGCGUAAAGCGCACGUAGGCGGACAUUUAAGUCAGGGGUGAAAUCCCAGAGCUCAACUCUGGAACUGCCUUUGAUAC